UCCGAGUUGACCCCGGCAGUCUCCCAUGAGUCCCCACCAUUACGUGCUGGCAACUAAGGACAAGGGUUGCGCUCGUUGCGGGACUUAACCCAACAUCUCACGACACGAGCUGACGACAGCCAUGCAGCACCUGUGUUCCGGUUCCCGAAGGCACCCCUCGAUCUCUCAAGGGUUCCGGACAUGUCAAGGCCAGGUAAGGUUCUUCGCGUUGCAUCGAAUUAAACCACAUACUCCACCGCUUGUGCGGGCCCCCGUCAAUUCCUUUGAGUUUCAGUCUUGCGACCGUACUUCCCAGGCGGCGAACUUAACGCGUUAGCUUCGAUACUGAAGGCUCAAUUGCCCCCAACAUCCAGUUCGCAUCGUUUAGGGCGUGGACUAC
rnacentral:misc_RNA from 1 species